GCGGGCAUCUUGAGCAUUUUGCCGGACUUCUUUGCAGUUAGCGGGCACCUGUGCGAAUUUCUUGAGCGCUUCGCCAGAUUAUGGGCUCCCCACUCAGAGGGGUCUCUGAAUUUCUUUUUUUUGUUUUUUUCUUAUCCACAGACUCUGACACGAGGGGCAUGGAGAAACCUGUUUUUUUUGUUGUUUUUUUGAGGUUGUUCAUCGUUAAAGUACCAGUCUAAGGAGCUUGGAAAGAUGAGCUUCUAGAACUUGUAUGUGAGGAGCAGGAGCUCCCUGAAGGAGAACCCCGGCCACGUCGUCAUUUUUUUGAGGUUGUCCGUCGACAAUGUACCAGUCUAAGGAGCUUGGAAAGAUGAGCUUCUAGAACUUGUAUGUGAGGAGCAGGAGCUCCCUGAACGAGAACCCCGGCCACGUCGUCAUUUUUUUGAGGUUGUCCGUCGUCAAUGUACCAGUCUAAGGAGCUUGGAAAGAUGAGCUUCUAGAACUUGUAUGUGAGGAGCAGGAGCUCCCUGAACGAGAACCCCGGCCACGUCGUCAUUUUUUUGAGGUUGUCCGUCGUCAAUGUACCAGUCUAAGGAGCUUGGAAAGAUGAGCUUCUAGAACUUGUAUGUAAGGAGCAGGAGCUCCCUGAAGGAGAACCCCGGC